rfam:Cavia porcellus supercont2_2 genomic scaffold, whole genome shotgun sequence.
AGAUGUGAGAGUGAGCUGGCUAUAACAUCUGUCACUCUAUUGAUUGUCAUGUUUCAUUCUGCUGGGGUGGUUGGCUAGGUGGGUGCCCUUCCUCCUUCACUGCAUCCCUCCUGAGAUUGCACACUUGGUAGAAGAGGACAAGCAUGGAUAGAAGAGAACAAUGCCUAUGUCCAAGGUUAUAUGAGUAGCUUCAUACUUCUAUUAGAACUUCCAAACAGUUUCUCAAAAUAAAGCACAUACUAGCCCAUAAAGCAUGCUAGAGUAAAUGCAAAAAAAUUCAAACUUUU